CGAAAGCCUGACGGAGCAACGCCGCGUGAGGGAUGAAGGCCUCUGGGCUGUAAACCUCUUUUCUCAAGGAAGAAGAUCUGACGGUACUUGAGGAAUAAGCCACGGCUAAUUCCGUGCCAGCAGCCGCGGUAAUACGGGAGUGGCAAGCGUUAUCCGGAAUUAUUGGGCGUAAAGCGUCCGCAGGCGGCCUGUUAAGUCUGUCGUUAAAGCGUGGAGCUUAACUCCAUUUCAGCGAUGGAAACUACAGGGCUUGAGUGUGGUAGGGGCAGAGGGAAUUCCCGGUGUAGCGGUGAAAUGCGUAGAUAUCGGGAAGAACACCAGUGGCGACGGCGCUCUGCUGGGCCAUAACUGACGCUCAUGGAUGAAAGCCAGGGGAGCG
rnacentral:rRNA from 1 species